rnacentral:rRNA from 1 species
UACGGAGGGUGCAAGCGUUAUCCGGAUUCACUGGGUUUAAAGGGUGCGUAGGUGGGCUGGUAAGUCAGUGGUGAAAUCUCCAGGCUUAACUUGGAAACUGCCAUUGAUACUAUUAGUCUUGAAUACCGUGGAGGUCAGCGGAAUAUGUCAUGUAGCGGUGAAAUGCUUAGAUAUGACAUAGAACACCAAUUGCGAAGGCAGCUGGCUACACGAAUAUUGACACUGAUGCACGAAAGCGUGGGGGAUCAAACAGG